UCGUCCAAAAUCGUCCAAAAUGUGUGAAAACACUUCGUCCUUACGAGCUGUCAUGCAGCGGCAACUCAAGACUUCAGAAUCUGACGACGAUGAGGCGCCGGCUAACGUUUCAAAGACUCAGAUCGGUGCUCAUGCUAUGACCGUCGGUUCCUCCUCACGCGCUCUGACCGUCACAGAAUCUGACGGCGAUGAGUUGCCGGUUAACGUCAUCGGGACUCAGAUCGGGACUCAGAUCGGGACUCAGACCGGGGCUCAUGCUCCGACCGUCGGUUCGCCAUCACGCGCUCAGACCGUCGGUUCGCCAUCACGCGCUCUGACCGUCACAGAAUCUGACGGCAAUGAGUUGCCGGUUAACGUGAUCGGGACUCAGAUCGGGGCUCAUGCUCCGACCGUCGGUUCGCCAUCACGCGCUCCGACCGUCGGUUCGCCAUCACGCGCUCCGACCGUCGGUUCGCCAUCACGCGCUCCGACCGUCGGUUCGCCAUCACGCGCUCCGACCGUCGGUUCCCCCUCACGCGCUCCGACCGUCGGUUCGCCAUCACGCGCUCCGACCGUCGGUUCCCCCUCACGCGCUCCGACCGUCGGUUCCUCCUCUGGCGCCCAGUACGGCUGUCUUAGGUCUUGGACUCGCACUGGUGGCCGGCUGGCUAGGAUUCCUGCCUGCGAGCAUCCGAAUCCUUCCGG
rnacentral:lncRNA from 1 species